AAGCCAUGCGAGUCGCGAGUCUUAGGGACUCGGCGUACCGCUCAGUAACACGUGGGUAACCUGCCCUAUGCUGGGGGAUAACCUCGGGAAACUGAGAAUAAUACCCCAUAGUUCACCACGCCUGGAACGGUGGGUGGACCAAAGCUCCGGCGGCAUAGGAUGGGCCUGCGGCGUAUCAGGUUGUAGGGGGUGUAAUGUACCCUCUAGCCCUCUACGCGUACGGGUGUUGAGAGACAUCGCCCGGAGAUGGAUUCUGAGACACGAAUCCAGACCCUACGGGGUGCAGCAGGCGCGAAAACUUGGCAAUGCGAGAAAUCGUGACCAGGGAACUCCAAGUGCAUCGGGUAAGGCCGAUGCUUUUCUUGACUCUUCAAAGGUCUUGGAAUAAGGGGUGGGUAAGGACGGUGCCAGCCGCCGCGGUAAUACCGGCGCCCCAAGUGGUAGUCGCUUUUAUUGGGCCUAAAACGUCCGUAGCCGGUCUGGUACAUUCGUGGGUAAAUCAACCAGCUCAACUGGUUGAAUUCUGCGAGCACGGCCAGACUUGGGCCCGGGAGAGGUGUGGGGUACUCUCAGGGUAGGGGUAAAAUCCUGUCAUCCUGAGAGGACCACCUGUUGCGAAGGCGCCACACUAGAACGGAUCCGACGGUCAGGGACGAAGCCUAGGGGCACGAACCGGAUUAGAUACCCGGGUAGUCCUAGGUGUAAACGCUGUGGACUUGAUGUUGGGGGCGCUCCGAGCGCACUCAGUGUCGAAGCGAAGGUGAUAAGUCCACUGCCUGGGGAGUACGGUCGCAAGGCUGAAACUUAAAGGAAUUGGCGGGGGAGCACCGCAACCUGAGGAUUGUGCGGUUUAAUUGGAUCAACGCCGGG
rnacentral:rRNA from 1 species